UCUGGGUUGGCCGAGUGGUUAAGGCGUUGCACUUAAGUUCCAAUGGACAAGUGUCCGCGUGGGUUCGAACCCCACACCCAGUA
rnacentral:tRNA from 1 species